CGGUGUUUACUGGCAUGAUGUGGGACGUCCUACCGGUGGGCUUAGCCCUUCGGGGCGGUCCAACUAAUAUCCCAUCGCGGUGCUCUUCAUUGAGUGUCGAGAUGGGCCGGUACGUUUACUUUGAACAAAUUAGAGUGCUUAAAGCAGGCUAGCCUCGCCUGAAUACUGUGUGCAUGGAAUAAUGGAAUAGGACCUCGGUUCUAUUUUGUUGGUUUUCGGAACUCCGAGGUAAUGAUUAAUAGGGACAGAUGGGGGCAUUCGUAUUGCGACGUUAGAGGUGAAAUUCUUGGAUCGUCGCAAGACGGACAGAAGCGAAAGCAUUUGCCAAAAAUGUUUUCAUUAAUCAAGAACGAAAGUUAGAGGUUCGAAGGCGAUCAGAUACCGCCCUAGUUCUAACCAUAAACGAUGCCAGCUAGCGAUCCGCCGAAGUUCCUCCGAUGACUCGACGGGCAGCUUCCGGGAAACCAAAGCUUUUGGGUUCCGGGGGAAGUAUGGUUGCAAAGCUGAAACUUAAAGGAAUUGACGGAAGGGCACCACCAGGAGUGGAGCCUGCGGCUUAAUUUGACUCAACACGGGAAACCUCACCAGGCCCGGACACCGGAAGGAUUGACAGAUUGAUAGCUCUUUCUUGAUUCGGUGGGUGGUGGUGCAUGGCCGUUCUUAGUUGGUGGAGCGAUUUGUCUGGUUAAUUCCGAUAACGAACGAGACUCUAGCCUGCUAAAUAGGCGUACAUUCUGGUAUCACGAAGGCCCUCGGCUUCGGUCGAGUGGUUUUUACUACCAACGUACCAACAAAUCUUCUUAGAGGGACAGGCGG
rnacentral:rRNA from 1 species